rnacentral:misc_RNA from 1 species
GAAAGCCGCAAACAGCUUAACGAAGGUAGGCCAUUACAGAAACAUUUCAGUCACGAUAGAUGACGCGACAGCAGCGUCAUACAUCGAUACAAGUUUAAACUUCGAGUUUCGAGAUAUUUACUUAGAAGAAUCGGAGAUCAUUCCCACAAGAAAAAUAAACACCGAAACCGAAAAGCCCAAUCUUCAAAUAGAAGCAUUAUUAGAGAUCUUCCGGAAACAAAACAUGCAUGAGAGGUAAGGCACGGACUUUGAAAUAAAACAAUUUGAUGGAACGCAAAGAGCCACAGAUUGGAUAUUAGAGUAAGAAACGGAAUGCCAAAGAUACGAAAUUCAAAACGACGAAAAAAAGGAUCAAGAAUUUGAAGAAAUAUUUGGGAAAAACAGCAUCAGAAUGGUACCAGACAAAUCUGCUGAAUGAUGAAGAAUACAACUGGGAAAAUUGGAAGGCGGUAUUUCUAAAAGCUUUUAGUAAUAAAGGUUGGUCUGCAGUGCAAUACACCUAUAACUUUAAAUAUAUUUCAGGUUCAUUCACCAAAUAUGCCAUAAAACAGGACCGAUUAAUAUUGGAAGUAAGGAGGAAGACCUCCGAUGAGACCAGGACAAAUGUAAUUGUUAGUCGAUUACCCAUACACAUUCAAGAUAAAGUCUAUAAAGAAGCAGUACAAUCAACAGGUGAUCUAAUCAGACUCUUGUUGCAAUACAAAGACCACAGGAAAGGAAGAAAAAGUCAAGAGAGUAAUGCAAGAUUGAACAGAAAGCCAGAGCCGCCACGCAAGAAUCUACCGUGUGUGCUUUGUGAAGCACUGAAUUUCCCAGGCCUAUUCUACCCAAUGCAAGUAUGCAGAAACAGAAACAGAAAUGCACAGAGGAAACAAAACCAGCAGAUGAGAAUGGAAAAAACUAAAAUGCCCGGAAAAAUACGAAUCUCUGAUAAAGCUCCGAGUUAAAAUCAACGACCAGAAAGAGGUUGAAGGCUCCAAAAAAUCAUUGACCAAAUAAAGGCAGAUAUAAUAAAAGACAAGAGUAUGUUUAAGACUAUCAGUGGGAAGGACUUCACUAAUAGCUGGGCGAAACUUAGAAUGAAAAUUAAUAAAAUAGGGAAAGAAAUAAAUGUUUAUAUAGUGCAUAAUGAUAACUUCACAUAUGAUCUCAUCUUAGGACUGGACGCCAUAAGAGAGUUCAAGUUGAAAUAAGAUGAGAAUUUGAGAGUUAGUCAAAAAGUAGACAAAAAAGAAGAAAUAAUCAGAGAAGAAAGAUAAACGUUACCAAAUACAAGAAGAUGGACAACCUAGGUCACCUAAAUCACCUAUAAAAAAAAGAGAUGCAAGUGGAGAGGGCUUAGGGGCAGUUUUAAACCAAACCUCGAGGCAACGGGAUAUUACACCCAGCCGCGUACUUUUCAAGAAAAUUGAAACCAACAGAG